rnacentral:rRNA from 1 species
GACGAACGCUGGCGGCGUGCUUAACACAUGCAAGUCGAACGGUAAGGCCCUUUCGGGGGUACACGAGUGGCGAACGGGUGAGUAACACGUGGGUGAUCUGCCCUGCACUUUGGGAUAAGCCUGGGAAACUGGGUCUAAUACCGGAUAGGACUACGCGAUGCAUGUCGUGUGGUGGAAAGCUUUUGCGGUGUGGGAUGGGCCCGCGGCCUAUCAGCUUGUUGGUGGGGUGAUGGCCUACCAAGGCGACGACGGGUAGCCGGCCUGAGAGGGUGUCCGGCCACACUGGGACUGAGAGACGGCCCAGACUCCUACGGGAGGCAGCAGUGGGGAAUAGUGCACAAUGGGCGCAAGCCUGAUGCAGCGACGCCGCGUGGGGGAUGACGGCCUUCGGGUUGUAAACCCCUUUCAGCACAGACGAAGCGUAAGUGACGGUAUGUGCAGAAGAAGCACCGGCCAACUACGUG